AGAGGUCCCAAGCGUUGUUCGGAUUCACUGGGCGUAAAGGGUGCGUAGGUGGUGAGGUAAGUCUGAUGUGAAAUCCCGCAGCUCAACUGCGGAACGGCAUCGGAUACUAUCUUGCUAGAGGGUUUGAGGGGGGACUGGAAUUCUCGGUGUAGCAGUGAAAUGCGUAGAUAUCGAGAGGAACACCAGUGGCGAAGGCGAGUCCCUGGAAAACUCCUGACACUGAGGCACGAAAGCUAGGGGAGCAAACAGGAUUAGAUACCCUGGUAGUCCUAGCCGUAAACGGUGCACGUUUGCUGUGAGUGGAAUCGACCCCACUCGUGGCGUAGCCAACGCGUUAAACGUGCCGCCUGGGAAGUACGGUCGCAAGAUUA
rnacentral:rRNA from 1 species